rnacentral:misc_RNA from 1 species
AACUUUUAACAAUGGAUCUCUUGGCUCUCGCAUCGAUGAAGAACGCAGCGAAAUGCGAGAAGUAAUGUGAAUUGCAGAAUUCAGUGAAUCAUCGAAGCUUUGAACGCACCUUGCGCUCCUUGGUAUUCCGAGGAGCAUGCCUGUUUGAGGGUCAUGGUAUUCUCAAUCCACUCUCAUUUUUUAUGAGGGCGGUAUUGGAUGUGGAGGCUUUUUGUCGGAGAGCUUUGAUUCCCCGACUCCUCCCAAAUACAUCAGUGCGGAUGUGCAUUGUGUCGUCCCUCAGCGUGAUAGCUAUCUACGCUCGGGCUCGGCUUGUGCAGUUGAUGUCUGUGCUUCCAACCGUCCCCUCCAGGACACUGCCAUUGAACAUCUGACCUCAAAUCAGGUAGGACUACCCGCUGAACUUAAGCAUAUCAAUAAGCGGAGGCU